rnacentral:rRNA from 1 species
GACGAACGCUGGCGGCAUGCCUAAUACAUGCAAGUGGGGCGCAAGGAAACACACUGUUCUUGCACACCGUGUUUUCUUGAGUCGCGAACGGGUGAGUAACGCCUAGGUAACCUGCCUAUUAUCGGGGGAUAACUAUUGGUAACGCUAGCUAAUACCGCAUAAUAUUAAUUAUUGCAUGAUAAUUGAUUGAAAGAUUCAAGCGCAUCACUAGUAGAUAGACCUUCGUGGUAUUAGCUAGUUGGUAAGGUAAAGGCUUACCAAGGCGACAAUCCAUAGCCGAUCGUAGAGGAUGGUCAGUCACCUGGGAACGGAGACACGGUCCAGACUGCUACGGGAGCCAGCAGGGGGGAAGAUUGGACAAUGGGCUGAAGCCUGAUCCAGCCAUGCCGCGUGUGUGAAGAAGGUCUUCGGAUUGUAAAGCACUUUAAGUUGGGAGGAAGGGCAGUAAGUUAAUACCUUGCUGUUUUGACGUUACCAACAGAAUAAGCACCGGCUAACUUCGUG